rnacentral:rRNA from 1 species
AUUGAACGCUGGCGGCAGGCCUAACACAUGCAAGUCGAACGAGUGGCGGACGGGUGAGUAAUGUCUGGGAACGUGCCUGAUGGCGGGGGAUAACUACUGGAAACAGUAGCUAAUACCGCAUACCAUCAGAUCUGCCCAGAUGGGAUUAGCUUGUUGGUGGGGUAAAGGCUCACCAAGGCGACGAUCCCUAGCUGGUCUGAGAGGAUGACCAGCCACACUGUAACUGAGACACGGUCCAGACUCCUACGGGAGGCAGCAGUGGGGAAUAUUGCACAAUGGGCGCAAGCCUGAUGCAGCCAUGCCGCGUGUAUGAAGAAGGCCUUCGGGUUGUAAAGUACUUUCAGCGGGGAGGCGUUACCUGCAGAAGAAGCACCGGCUAACUACGUGCCAGCAGCCGCGGUAAUUC